rnacentral:rRNA from 1 species
GUAGGUGGCAAGCGUUGUCCGGAAUUAUUGGGGCGUAAAGCGCGCGCAGGUGGCUCUUUAAGUCUGAUGUGAAAGCCCCCGGGCUCAACCGGGGAGGGUCAUUGGAAACUGGGGAACUUGAGUGCAGGAGAGGAAAGUGGAAUUCCACGUGUAGCGGUGAAAUGCGUAGAUAUGUGGAGGAACACCAGUGGCGAAGGCGACUUUCUGGCCUGUAACUGACACUGAGGCGCGAAAGCGUGGGGAGCAAACAGGAUUAGAUACCCUGGUAGUCCACGCCGUAAACGAUGAGUGCUAAGUGUUGGGGGGUUUCCGCCCCUCAGUGCUGCAGCUAACGCAUUAAGCACUCCGCCUGGGGAGUACGGUCGCAAAGACUG